GACCGAGGACUUACCAGUGAUAAUGACUGAAGCAGAACCUCAGAGCUGUAGCAGCAAAGGCAAAAGUCAAUGAAUCCCUGUGUGCUCCCUGAUCAGUUGGAGUGCUGCAUGCAACCUGGACAUGGAUCAUCCAUUGCCAAAGCUGCCUGAAGAUCCAAAAUCUUUCCUACUUGACAGGGCUUGUGAAAAGAUCCCAUCUUUCUCCUCAGUAUAGACCAGGGAACACUGCCCAGAGUCAAGUCCAGCUUCCUUGGGGCUCCCUGCACAGAGGCCACAUGUGGGUGAGGAGCAGGAUAUGAAGUGUUUAUGAAUGUAUUUUUAACUCUAUUGCAAGGUAAGUAUGUGAGAAUUUGCUACCCAUGGUACUCUACUGAGCUGCCCCUGCUCACCACCUACCCAACUGAGCAAGCAGUGAAAAUAUUUUGUAAAAGAAAUAUUUUGUAAAAGAUUGUUUUCUGAGGGAAUGUGCUGCUUUAGCAACAAAAUGCGAUCUUUGGCAUUUAUACACAUAUCUUUGUCUACUUGGAUCUAAUGAAAUAUUUAUCUUAGUUUCAGAAGCUACACUCUAUAAAACACUAAGAUAAUUAAUUGUAACUGGUACUGUUAACAUUUGCAUAAAACAAAAAAUUAAAUGUGGAUGCUGAGUGAGUCAGUGUGUGCUUAAAUAUGACACAAGCUCUAUAAUCAAAGGUGAGGUACAAAACCUGAGACCAUAAUUGCUCCAGUGAAGUCAACUCUGGGCAUCUCUUUUAAGGCAGAAACUAUUAAGUACUUGGAAAUGCUUCCACUAUGAAGGUAUGGGCAAUUUUAACUUCAGACUUUUCCAAUAUCCCAGGUCAAACCUUGAAAUUCUCCUCUAAUCUUCACGAAGGCACAGAGACAGCCUGCCAUGAAAAAUGAAUUGUAAAGUAUUCCCAACCCUCCAAAAGAGAGAAACACAUCAGAUUAAGCACAUUUUAAUUAUGUUAAUCACCUACCACAUUUAGCAUUUUCUUAAGGAUAAAAAAUUACCUAAAUACGAUUCAUUUUAGAUUUUACGAUACAGAAAAUUUGCAGCGAUUUUAUAAACCUAAGGCACAGCAUAUUUCAUUGUCUCCACACUCUGAGGUGGCUGAAAGGCCAUUCUUUAAAAUUCACAGACUGUGAGACGAUAGAGGUUGCACUUUUUGUCGUUCCAGCUCCCAUCCGUGUACAUCUCUACACAUUUUUCUUUCCCUUUGCCAUUAGGCUCAUAUUGGUGCCACUUGGUGUAGCCCAGGGGCACCCCAGUUAUAUAGGUAAACUGGCCUGAAGUCUCACACUCUUUAAUGCCCAAGUAAGCAUAUUGCUUGUACUGUUUCACAAUGUCCAUAAUAGCUUUAUUCUCCUCCUCAUUCAUGGGAGUUGCAAGAGUUCCUCCAGCCUCUUCACAGGACCGUAGUGCAGAUGCAAAAUCAGCUUUCUUUCCAUUGGUAGCAAAGACUUUCUCUCCUACUUCUCUUAUUUUCCCAUUCAAAGCAAGUGCUGAAACAUGAAAAGAAAAAACCUACUUAGCUUUUUAAAUUUUCUGCAGCCUAUUAAAGAAAAAGCAAAGAAAGGGAAAUCAAGAGACGAAGAGCAAAGGUGGUAAGAGGAAGAGAAGGCAAAAAUGAGAGUAACGGAUGAAGAGAAAACAAGAUCUUAAAUUUUACCAAUCCACUAGUUUUUCCCUAAGUGUAUUGUUAUGCUCCUUGUGACCAUCUGUCCUUCUCUCCAAGACAAGGAUUUUCCACUCACAUUUACUACAUACUCUGUGAGCCCUGUUAUAUUGAGUGUGCUUUCUAAAGAGGAUCAGUUUACUUAAAAUCUGAGUAAGUGAAACAGAGAAGUGAUAUUUUUUUAUGAAUUCUUUCUCAGUAAGAAACAAUUUACCACCCUCAACAAUCUGGUUUCUGAUAAAUAAAAAUAUGUGGUACAAAACUGAGGAGUUCCCAUGAAUCUGUGUGGAAAGUGCAACAUCAGUUGUAAUAUUUUUCAAAUAACUCAAAUUUUAAUAAAUGUGUGUUACAGUUGCUAAAAGAAAUCUACUACUCCAGGGAAACAGAGUCUUGAUUUCCCGAGCUUUGGAUGAGAAAAUGGAGUUUUGGGAUGCAGUACUGUUUUCAAAUGCAAUUUCUUUCCUGCAAGUCAUGAAUCUAUAAUUAGCUUUGCCUACUGAGCUUAAAACUGUUUGUGAGCUGAAAUAGUAACAAGAAGAAGAAUUACCGGCUUCAAGUUGGAAAAGUCGGUGUUGCAAAUUUACUAAAAGAUUGUGGCAGUCAAUGUCUGGAGAACCAGGUAGACCUAUAUAGAUAAAAUUAAAAGUUAUACAAUCGAGCAAAACUAGGCCCUGAUGAUAGGAACAAUUCCCUUGACAAAACUAAUAAUUUUCCAGAACUAGCGUGUAAUAGUUUUUUUUUUUUUACAUCAUUAGGUGUAAAAUAAAUAUUUUCCCAGUAAUUUUUUCAUGUUGUUGUUAAUCUAUUGUAAAGCAGACUAGCAAAAACAUCCAACCCUCUAAAAUGCUACUAAUUCCCCUCUGCACAGAACCAACUAAAUUUUCCUAGGUUGAAGAACUUUGUUCGUUAUAUGUGUGAAACUGGCUUUGCAAAACAGAAUUUGUCUCAUUCUACUAAAUGGUGGUGAACAAGCACAAGGGAGAUUUUAGAGAGGGACCAGUUCCUAUGACACCAUACCAUUUUUUUUUUUAGUGUGCAGGGUGAAUGCUUUGUGUUUUUACAGUGGGAUCUUAUUUCAGUGAAGGCAUAAACACUUGUAGAGGAAACUUUCUGCAUAGAUAGUGUGAAAUAGAGCCCAUCCAGCAGUGCUUGCUAAAGGUGUACUUUAGCAGUACUGUAAAGCGUUGUAAAGGUAGAUUCCUUUUUCAUACCCGUUUCCAUGGGAAAUAAAGGUCCUACAUGUAGAAUAAAGUCACUAAUGUGCUCCCAUGAUCACAUUCCAAUUAUUGACAACUGAAACAAAUAGCAAUGUAGAACCACAAAAUAUUGCUGCAUCCACAAGUUGCAAUUUUGCAACACUUAUUGCACUUCACAAUCGAUUAAAAAAACCCAUAUUUGACCUAAUAAAGAGAGUUUAUGAAUAAUUUUGAUAGUGCUUUAGCCUUGUCAACGGACUUGGAGAAAGCAUUUCUACCUAGAAGGAAAAUUACACAGUGCAAACUGUGUUCUUUAUCAGUCUACUUUUGCACAUAUCAUCUUUGAACACUAGAGCAACAUGCCAGAAUCCUUUUAAUUACACUUUUGAGUAUUGGAUAGCAUUGCCUUCAUACUUAAAAAAAAAAAAAAAAAAAGAAAAAAAAAAGAAAUAAAAGAUAACUUCUCCUGUGAAAGAAGCAAUUCCCGUUGGAAUGUCAAUGGAAAAAGCACUGCAAAGACAUAUUUGUAUAUAUAAUAUUUAUAUCUUAAAGUAUUUAUAACCUAUUCACUUCCCCUCUUCUCCCAGAAGAGAGAGGAGGCUUGUCUUUUGAGAAAAAAAAAUAAAUAUUUAAACUGCCUGCUUCCUCCAUUCAAGUUUUCCUUCCCCUGCUUAACACAGCUGCUUCCUUGAGAGCACACGUCCUUCUGUGUCAAUGCUGCCUUCAUGACAAGGAUCUGUUCCAAAAAAGGGAAGUUUACUUACCCGGUACACGUGGCUGUCCUUUCAGAACAUCUCUUCCAGGGAUAUCAGGCAGCCCAGAAAUUUCUGGACAUUUACUUAAUGCAUGGCAAGUCACUAACAAAGCAGCUACUGCUGUGAGUGUGUAGGAUGAGUAAGACAACAUGAUUGCUCAGGCCAGCUGUAAGAAAACCCACACAUUUGUCAGGCAACGAUUUUGUAAGAAAUUAUUGGCUCAUAUAAUUGCAAAUUCUUUAAAUUUACAUUAUUUCCUUGUUUAAAUACAGUCUAUAGUUUAGGUGUAAGAGAUUUCCCAGAUUAUUUUCUACCAUUGUGUAGUUUAAACUCUUUUUAGUCUGAUUCAGCUUGACGUGCUCAUUACAGAAUGAUAGCCACACAUUUGGGAGUAGUGAAGAUAAAUUAUCCCUUUUGCUGUCACUGACUAUUUGUUGGAUUUAUCCUUGAGAAAUGAUGGGCUUGGAUGUAACUGAUCACACUUAUGCCAUUAGUUGGCUGUUAAGGACUAUAAUCACUCAAUGAUGCUUAUGAUACCAACCUGAAGGGCACAAUCUGUUACAGUGGUUAUUGCAAUGUUUUGGAGCUAGUUAGCAAUCUCUUCAACCACAGUACUAUUUAAGCACAUUUGUUUGACAUAAACAGACUGAUAGUGUUUUACACAUGGGCAAAAUGUUACAGCUCAGUUGACAUUCCUAUCUUGUUUUGAACAAAAUUCCACAAGCUUGAAAAUGUCAGAGUUAUUCUUGUGGAAAAUGCAUUUUUGCUGGUUAGCAAUAGGCCUAUUAAUCUUAUUUUAUCCUUUCAGAUAUAACAUUAAGUACGGUUAUAAUCUUAGUGCUAUUAUGACUAAAAAGCACUCAAAUUAUAUACAUCGUGGGUUUACAACACAGGGAGUGGGUAUGCUGUGCAGUUAUGAAACCUGAAUUGAAGGACUGUAAGUUACUGUGUCAUGGAGAUACUCAGUUAUUGACAUCAUUCAGUUGAAAUAAUAAGAGCUAUAAAGCAAGGUUCAAGAGACAAGGAUUGGUAUCCUCAUUUCUAAUGAGGUGAUCGUGUUGUGUUGAUUCUCAUACAAAAUAUGUAACUUAAGGCUCAUCCUCCACUUUUCUAGUGGCAUGAAUUAGAGAGGAUCCUGUACUACUCUCUCUCAAAAAUCUCCAUUCUUAAAAAACCCAAAAACAACCAGAUUUGACACAUAAUAUAUGUUCUAAAUCCAGCACCACUCAAAAUUGAAAAUAAAACCUUGGUUGGCUUGAAUGCUGCAAGAUUAUUAAAAUCUGGGUUCAUCAGUAAUAACAAGGUAUUUGUUUCAAAGUAUAUAUGCCAAGCAGAAUCAAAAUAUCAGUUACCAUUUGUAAAAUGGGCUGAGAUUUUUACAAAUAGAAGUAUUGUUUAUAUCUCCCAGAUUGAUUCUGUCAUAGAAGAGUUUUGAGAUUAUUCUUAAUCUGCAUCAACACCAAACUUGUUUUCUAGGGGAAUGUCUCAUCAAAGUCAAUUCAGUAGGACAUACCCUUGAAGAUAAGAAUAUUCAAUUAUGUCAUAAAUUUGUAGCAUAUAGUAUCUGUUUAAUUAACAGCAGUAUCUAUUCUUCAUGGUCAAGAAUUUCCACUUUAAAGAGUGGGAACACAUGAGCAGUAUUAAAAGCGCUUUUGAGUUCUGUCUGUUGAAUCUGAAGUGUCUUGAUCUGUUUACCCUUUAAUGUAUUGAAGGCUAGCAGACACCUCUGAAAAUGCUGGCCAAUGACUUAGAGAGAGCAGAUUAUUAAACCUACCUUAGGUGGCUAGGAAUACUUACAUCCCUGAGAUAAGGAAAUGCAAUUACAACACGUAGCCUUUGCCUGAUGAUCAUCAUUCAGGGAAUUACGUUUGAAUGGACUACUGCAUCCAGCUCAUAAUUGGAUUAUGAUGCAGAGUCAAAGUCUUGAUCAAUUAUAAAGCAAAAUGGAAGAAAAACCAGCUCUUCAGUUUUAAUCCACUUUUAAUGACCUUCAUCAGUCAUUACUAUCUAGUGUCCUUCAGGCGUGUCCCCAUCUACUAAAAUUGCUAGUAUAAGCAAAGUAAAAAAUGACUAAUAAAGGAAAAUUCAAUUUUAAAAUGUAAGUAUGACCACAGAAAUAAAAAGAAAUGGGUUUGCCUUCUAGCUGAAAUUCCUUGUGAUUUAUGAAGAGGAAAUUCAACUUACCCUUCUGCUUCAAAGUGAAGUGAAAGUGCAGUUCACACAAGUCCCCUUUAUAUGGUGUCAUGUUUGUUGAGUGACACCACUGAAGUGGAGACUGGAUGCUGAGGGUACAAAUGAGCUUUUUUAGUUUCACUCACACAUUUGUUAUGCAAAUACUGAGAUCAGUUUUAAGGCUUGAGCAAUUUCUUAUUCUUUUAUAACAAUAGAAAGCCAAAAUUGUAGAAAAUACAAACUAGAACUAACAGACAACCUCGGAUUUGUAGACACAGACAAAAUGUAUAAAGACAUAAAGUAACUUUCCAUGAUUCCAGGUCAUAUUGUAAAAAUCGUUUCUUGUUUUUCAAAAGCAAAAAUGUCAUAUAACUACCAGUUAUUUUUGUAACAGGAAAGGUAUUCUUGUGAACUGAGGAAGCAUGAUACCUCCCAGAUACUCUGAUCUGGAAGUCAAUUCUAAACUUUGCUUCCCAUCUCUGUAUAUGAUGUACUUGCCUUACCUUAAUAUAAUUUUCUAGCUGUGUGUUACACUCAAUGUUUCCAUGACCUUCUGGUCUCUCUCACUUGUAGUGUAUCACUGAUCCUUUCUUGGCCAGAGAUGGAUCUUGGAAAAACCUCUAUAUGUGAACAAAAUUCUCAAACGGGCAGCAUUUUCAAGAAAAAAAGAAACCAGAAUUUUCAUUCCUCUGGUUUCCCAGGAAUAAAUAUUGUGAUCUUGUAAGUAACUUCCUUCUGUUUCUGAUGUCUUCUAUUGUAGGAUGUUUGAUCCUAGAUGAGGUUUGUUUCAUAAACCUCAGCAAGCCAACAUAUCAGUCCCUAAACUGUAAGAUAAAAAUACCUCUGUUUUGUCAAUUUAUACUGUGGUCUGUUAAGGAUAGGAUGUUUUCUAUUAUUAUUAUUUGUAUUUUACAAGAACUAUUAAAGUUUCAUUAUGAUCCCUAACUGUAGUGUCUUUCUACCCAGCAGAACUGACAGCUGCAAGCUGACAGGCUUUAGGCUCUGUCUUCAGCGAUUAAAAAGGUGUUUAAUAUCAACUAGCUGACCUAGCUAAGAGAAGAUUCCAAAGGAGGAGAUAUGAGAGGGAUCCCCUUUAGAAGUAGUGCAGUUACUUAAAUCCACUUCCAUUCACAAUUGAAAACCUCACCUUGCAGUUAAAAGUGCAUUACUCAGCAUGGUCUGUCCUCCCUUCAAAAAGAAACCCCACAAACAGCAAACUGACGACAAACUCAGUGUCCUCUUUAACAAAUUAUCAAUUAAUACUCACAAAUUUAUGUUAUAAAGAAUCUAUCUUCAAGUCCUUCCUCUACCUAAUACACAGCAAAGCUUUGAAUGCAGGUUAGUCAUUUUGCAAAACCUCUCACCCCACCAGUGGAAACUGUUUCCCUCUGUAGUCCAGAAGAGGUAGAUGAAAAGAACUGGUAUUGAGUGUAUAAGACAUGGAUUAGACAGUACCCAAAAGAUAAAAUACUUUUUUUUUUUUUUUCUGAAUCCCGUUGCAACUUGGGAAUAUCAUGGACACCGGGCAAUUGAGCACCAUUGAGACAGAGUGAAUUAAACCCAAACCCUGCAAUGGCCCCCUCAACCAUCAGCAAAGGAGAACUUGGAGAAAAAAGGAAUCUGAUUUUCAAAGACGGCACGUACCCAGAAAGACUGCUUUAUAUAACAGCUGUGCAUGCUACCCUCAAAAACUAACUGCCAAGGGGGGUUAAAAAACAGAACUAAUAUUUUAUAGCCUUCACACCUAUCAUUUUCAGAAUGUAAGGUAAACUCUUCAUUUUGGUCACACUGUUUUGAAGUGAGCUGAUUACUAACUGAUUAUGAUAACUUAUCAUAUCCUAAUCAGCAUAAAUGCCACACUCACAUAAAGCACAGUACUGUACAGCCUUGUUAGUUUAAUUUAGCAAUUUGUGAGACAUUAAUCUUAAAUGUGUCUCUGCUGCAAGUUCCUGAUACUGGCUCUCUGAGCUUGUCCUUGGCACAACAUCUGUGUAGCAAGCAGGUGUGGUCAAUUCUCCACGUUUACCUUGUUCAAAACAACAGUGGUUUUUAAUAUUUGUCUAGUAUUUCCACUGUAAUCUAUUUGCUGUGCUGCUAUAGAGCUUUAAAUCAUACAGAGUUAAGUGCCUAUAGUUAGUUUUAAGAAUUCUCAUUGGUAUCAGCUUAAGACCUCAUGAGAAAUAUAGAGCACUAAACAUAUGUCACCUCUUAAAUCAUGAAACAAUCCAAUGGCUGAAGUCCUACCUCCUCUCCACCUGCAGUUAAACUUUACUGAGAAAAUAUGGGAAGGCAAACAGUCCCCCACCUUUGGAAAAUAAGAAACACUGAUAAAAUAAUUUGUAUGCUAAUUUACAGUGUACUGAUGCAGGAAUAGGAUUUAAAAAAAAUGUAGAGAAUAUGGUACCUUACUACACUGCUAAUACUGAAAGAUUAGAAAUUCUGCUGUGGGUAGGUCUUAAAAUUUAUAUUAGUGCUGUGUGUACCCUAGACUUGUGCCACUUUAAUCUGAGGAUAAGAAUCUUACAGGAAGAAUGUGAUUGCUGAUGCUGCAUAUUUAUAUUUAUGAAAAAACAUGGCAUCAGUGACAUGCUGUCAGCUUAAUAGCACACUUAUUUUGGGCAGUGGAUUCCAGGGCAGAGAUUUCUAAGUUUAAAUGUAGAUGGAGGAAAAUAAGGAACGCUGAAUAUAGAUCAUGAGGUUCCCAAAAAGAGGAUAGUGGAGAUAGGGAACAGAGCUUGGAAUACUAGACUGUACUGAAUAGCCCUCUCAUAGCAUUGCUUUUGCAAAAUACAGAAAGCAUAAGCUUAAGACAAAAAAAAAUAUAAAAAUUUAAUAAAAAGGCCUCAAGCAAAACACAUACACCUUUCAACCUAUUUUCCAUUCUGGGAAAAGCAAUUCAAACUAUGCCAGAAACAAAAGAGAUGACCAGGUUUUCAGAGCUUUUGUUAAAAAGCCAGUGGUUAUCUCCAGCCAAAAAACUUACACCUAACUUAUACCUAUGUUAACAAAAGAACUACUUGCCCUUUGCUUUUAGAUUAUAUCAGAUUCCUUCUUUAUCAUAUGAUUAAAGGAAUGGAUUUAAACUACAUAUUCAGAGUCAGCAAAGUACAGGACAUCAGCAAAGCAGCCUCUCAAGUUAUAUGAAGAUGGUAGGCAAGCUGCUAGAAAAGUCUUUUUGACUGAAUCAUUAUUUCUAAGCCUUGAAAAAAGAAAGAGAGAAAAUCAACCAGAGCACAUGAGUAAAGGCAUCAAGCAGCUCUUGCUUUGACAAUAAUAUGGUAGAUUUUUAGACACAGGCUUCUUCCUUCAGACAGGACAAGUACUCUCCCCUUCUCCCUUCCCAUAUUCUUUGUCCAGGUUUAGUAAAAAUUUAGCCAUACUGUAAUCAGCUGCUGUUUCGUCCUUUCAUAAACAAAAAGAAAAUCACAAUCUCAUUCUAACUUCACAACCUAAUAAUGAUUUUCAGGUCUGUUUCUUAACUGUUUCACAGGUAAAGUUUAGAGAAAUGGUACUCCUGUGAUACUUGAGGAAUCACAUUUUUGUUUCCAAAGCAUCAAUUCACUCUUGUAUCCUGUAGGUCAUAUUAUCAACUCUAUAAUUCCUCCUUGCAUCUUCUACACCAUGUAAGUAGCUCUCUAUGGGAAUACUACAUAACAGUAUGGAAGAACCCUAACCUUUAUUCAACAACACAACAAAAUUACUCACUGCAGUAUCAAUUAGGGGUGUCAUGAUGGAGUAAAUAUUGUCUUUUUUUUACUGGAAAUGGUGGAAAGAGCAGUGAUGGAAGUGUCCUGCCACACUGUGUUCCCACAGAGGUGAACUAGACCAUAUCCCUCCUAUCAAAAGUGGUAAUAGGAAGCAAUUUAUGCUUGAACAGCCACUGGCCAACAUUGCCUUGGAAACAUAUGCUUGCAAUUCAUAUCUUGCCCUUAUAAAUAGCCAUCUGGCCCCUGUUAUCAAUUUAAAAUAAUCUAGCCUCCAGAUAGAAAAAAAAUAUAUCCUGCCAAGCUCUUAUUAUGUUGUUAUUGCCGGCAAAUGGCCUGUAUAAUGUCUCACUGAUAAGUGUUAGAACAUAUAUAUCCAAAAACAUCGUCAAUAUUUUAUUUGCCACUGAAAUUCAAAGCCCUUGGGAGAAACUUGUUAUUGAAAACACAUGGCAGAAAACGCAGAUUUACAAAUGAAAAUAGUAAACUCAUCAAGCUGCUGUUAAGGUCUGAUGGUCAAAGUGAAAUAAAGCUGCUUUGCAUCUUACUGAAAGGACACCAACGGGUCAUGAAUUCCCAGGAAACAGCACCUAUCAGGGUUGUUAUUGCUGUUAUGAGCUGAAAAUUAAGAGGUAUUACAGAAUUCUUUUUUGCACAGAAUUUUUCAGGAGACUGAACACAAAAUUCUGUAUGAUUUUACUGACUGUGCUGUUUGAAGAACAUAGACCUUAAUAUACUGAACCU